rnacentral:rRNA from 1 species
AGCAGCCGCGGUAAUUCCAGCUCCAAUAGCGUAUAUUAAAGUUGCUGCAGUUAAAAAGCUCGUAGUUGAAUUUCGGGAUCAUCAUGUCGGUCGUGCCUCGGUACGUACUGGCAUUGUUGGUUUCUACCUUCUGACGAACCAUGAUGUCAUUUAUUUGGUGUCGUGGGAAAUCAGGACUGUUACUUUGAAAAAAUUAGAGUGUUUAAAGCAGGCUCACGCUUGAAUACAUUAGCAUGGAAUAAUGAAAUAGGACGUUUGAUUCUAUUUUGUUGGUUUCUAGGAUCGACGUAAUGAUUAAUAGGGAUAGUUGGGGGCAUUAGUAUUCAAUUGUCAGAGGUGAAAUUCUUGGAUUUAUUGAAGACUAACUACUGCGAAAGCAUUUGCCAAGGAUGUUUUCAUUAAUCAAGAACGAAAGUUAGGGGAUCGAAGACGAUCAGAUACCGUCGUAGUCUUAACCAUAAACUAUGCCGACUAGGGAUCGGAUGAUGUAAUUUUUAAUGACUCAUUC